AUACUUAACUGGCAUGGGAGGUACCAUGAUCACAAAGGUGUUUUUCCCAGUGUGAGGCUUAUCCAUUGUACUCCAGAUGUGCAACUUCCCCAAAUGCGGGAAACUCGACUGCAAAAUUUGUGGUAGUGGGGACUGUAUUCACGCUCUCCUCU
rnacentral:snRNA from 1 species